UACAGAGGGUGCGAGCGUUAAUCGGAUUUACUGGGCGUAAAGGGCGCGUAGGCGGUUAUGUAAGUGAGAUGUGAAAUCCCUGGGCUUAACCUAGGAACUGCAUCUCAUACUGCGUAGCUAGAGUAUUGUAGAGGGUAGUGGAAUUUCCGGUGUAGCGGUGAAAUGCGUAGAGAUCGGAAGGAACACCAGUGGCGAAGGCGGCCGGCUGGGGGUGACCUGACGCUGAGGCGCGAAAGCGUGGGGAGCGAACCGG
rnacentral:rRNA from 1 species